rfam:Homo sapiens chromosome 15, GRCh38 reference primary assembly.
GCUGGGCGUGGUGGCGGGCGCCUGUAAUCCCAGCAACUUGGGAGGCUGAGGCAGGAGAAUUGCUUGAAACCAGAAGGCGGAGGUUGCAGUGAGCUGAGAUUGUGCCACUGCACUAGCCUGGGCAAUAAGAGCAAAACUCCAUCUCAAAAAGAAAAAAAAAAAAAAAGAACAAAGCUCUGUUUGGAGCCAUUGCUGGAGUGCAGUGGCGCGAUCUCAGCUCACUGCAAUCUCCGCCUCCUGGGUUCAAGCGAUUCCCCUGCCUCAG